rnacentral:lncRNA from 1 species
GUGGAGAGGAGCAUCGAUGACUGGGUGUUCAUGUGCUUCUUUGUGGGGAAUGAUUUCCUUCCUCACUUGCCGUCACUAGAGAUUAGGGAAGGUGCAAUUGAUCGUUUGGUUAACAUAUACAAAAACGUGGUACACAAAACUGGGGGUUACCUUACAGAAAGUGGUUAUGUCAAUCUACAAAGAGUACAGAUGAUCAUGUUAGCAGUUGGUGAAGUUGAGGAUAGCAUUUUUAAAAAGAGAAAAGAUGAUGAGGACAGUUUUAGAAGACGACAGAAAGAAAAAAGAAAGAGGAUGAAGAGAGAUCAACCAGCUUUUACUCCUAGUGGAAUAUUAACACCUUACGCUUUGGGUUCAAGAAAUUCUCCAGGUUGUCAAGUAGCCAGUAAUCCAAGACAAGCCGCCUAUGAAAUGAGGAUGCAGAGUAACUCUAGUCCUUCAAUAUCCCCUAAUACAAGUUUUGCAUCUGAUGGCUCCCCAUCUCCACUAGGAGGACUUAAGAGAAAAGCAGAAGAUAGUGAUAGUGAGCCAGAGCCAGAGGAUAACGUCAGGUUAUGGGAAGCUGGUUGGAAGCAGCGAUACUACAAGA